UACGUAGGGUGCAAGCGUUGUCCGGAAUUACUGGGCGUAAAGCGUGCGCAGGCGGUUUGUAAGUCUGUCGUGAAAGCCCCGGGCUCAACCUGGGAAUUGCGAUGGAGACUGCAAGGCUAGAAUCUGGCAGAGGGGGGUAGAAUUCCACGUGUAGCAGUGAAAUGCGUAGAGAUGUGGAGGAACACCGAUGGCGAAGGCAGCCCCCUGGGUCAAGAUUGACGCUCAUGCACGAAAGCGUGGGGAGCAAACAGG
rnacentral:rRNA from 1 species